rnacentral:rRNA from 1 species
CUUGAAUAAAUAUAAGAGGUCCAGCCUGCCCAGUGACCAUGUUCAACGGCCGCGGUAUCCUAACCGUGCGAAGGUAGCGUAAUCACUUGUUCUUUAAAUAAGGACUAGUAUGAACGGCACCACGAAGGUUACGCUGUCUCCUUUCUCUAAUCAGUGAAACUAAUCCCCCCGUGAAGAAGCGGGGAUAAACAUAUAAGACGAGAAGACCCUAUGGAGCUUCAAACUUUAAAGGCACUUGCCCUAACAUCAACCUAAUUUCAGAAAACUACUACUACUACCCAAGCAAGAUGACCCUUAGUUUUAGGUUGGGGUGACCGCGGAGCAAAAAAAAACCUCCACAUUGAAAAGAGCCAACUCUUUAGCCAAGAGCCACACCUCUAAGCACCAACAAAAAGACAUUAAUUGACCCAAUAUUUUGAUCAACGAAC